UGAUGCUAUUUGACCGGAAAGGCGGCAGUGCCGCCGGAGCCGGCGGCGGCGGCGGCGGCAGUGCCCAUGGUGAAAUCGAGAGAUAUGGAGCCAGAGGUGAUUUCAGAUCACCGCCACCGAGACCAUACGAGUAUAAUGAUUAUGGGGACUAUAGGGGUGAGAGUGGACGUGGAGGUUAUGGAAUGACUAGGAGGACGAGGUCUUUUGGAGACAUGAGUGAAGCCGUGGGCCGAGAUGGGCGAGAAGAGAGAAGGGUUGUGACUCCAUUGAGGGAAAUGAAGCCUGAGAGAAUUUUUGGCAAGAUGGCUCAUUUGCACAGGUUGUUGGACAGGUUCUUGUCUUGCCGGCCCACGGGUUUAGCCAAGAACAGCAGGAUGAUUCUGAUUGCUCUUUACCCAAUUGUGAGAGAGAGUUUCCAAUUGUAUGCCGAUAUAUGUGAGGUUUUGGCAGUCUUGCUGGACAAAUUCUUUGACAUGGAGUAUCCAGAUUGUGUUAAGGCUUUUGAUGCUUAUGCUAGCGCAGCUAAGCAGAUCGAUGAGCUGAUUGCGUUUUAUAAUUGGUGCAAGGAUAAUGGCGUGGCUCGAUCCUCAGAAUAUCCAGACGUGCAGAAGAUUACAAGUAAGUUGUUGGAAACUUUGGAGGAGUUUGUGAGGGAUAGGGCAAAACGGCCCAAGAGUCCUGAGAGGAAAGAGGAGGCUCCUUCUGUGGCUCAGGAAGAAGAGCCUGUACCUGAUAUGAAUGAAAUUAAGGCACUACCACCGCCAGAGAAUUACACUCCUCCUCCUCCUACCCCUCCUCAGCCGGAGCCUAAGCCUCAGCAACCACAGGUUGCUGAAGAUUUGGUGAAUUUAAGGGAUGAUGCUGUCACUGCAGAUGACCAGGGGAAUAAAUUGGCUUUGGCUUUGUUUGCUGGGCCACCUGCUAAUAACGGAGAUGGGUCAUGGGAAGCAUUCCCAUCUAAUGGUGAGCCUCAGGUGACCUCAGCUUGGCAGAACCCAGCUGCUGAACCUGACAAGGCAGAUUGGGAAUUGGCACUGGUUGAAUCGGCCAGCAAUCUAUCGAAGCAAAAGGCAACAUUGGGAGGUGGGUUUGAUCCAUUGUUGUUAAAUGGCAUGUAUGAUCAAGGAAUGGUGAGGCAACAUACUAAUACUACACAAUUGAGCGGAGGUAGUGCUAGCAGUGUGGCAUUGCCAGGGCCAGGUAAGAGUGCAACACCUGUUUUAGCUCUUCCGGCUCCAGACGGUACAGUUCAGACUGUUAAUCAGGAUCCUUUUGCUGCUUCUCUGAGCAUUCCACCUCCUUCGUAUGUGCAAAUGGCUGAUAUGGAGAAGAAACAACAUAUGCUUGUCCAGGAACAGAUAGUGUGGCAGCAAUAUGGGAAGGAUGGAAUGCAAGGCCAAUCUAGUUUGGCCAAACUCAAUGGCACCGGCUACUACACUGCGGGGCCAGGGCCAAUGCCAAUGAUGCCUUACGGGAUGCCACCAGUGAACGGAAUGGGGCCACCGGCUGGGUAUUACUACACUCCUUAGUGAUUUUUAUUCUGUUUAUCUAUAGAUGACUUCUCUUUGUUCAUGUUAUGUUUAUCUUUCUAGUUUUUUUUUUUUUUUAAAUCCUUUUAAAGCUUUUGAUGCUAUUCCUACAAUUUGUGCACAAGAUGGGAUUGGGAGGGAGGAAAGAAUGAAUUCAAUACGCUAGUGAUUGUGGGAGUUUUGAUGUUUGGGAGACCUGUAAUAGAAAUCUUGGCAUCUCUUUGUACUUUGUAAUAUUAGCAUUUCUUUGACAUCUCUUGAUGUUCUGAAUUAUUCUCUGUUUAAGAAUUAGUUGUGCCUUAAUGAAUUUUGAUUAGAAUAGAAAAGUUAGGUGGUAAGCUUCCCAGAAUGCUAAUUAAUGUCCCUUUCUUGGCUUGGAAGCUGUUAGGGAAAGAGGAAAAUAAUCCUCCAAAUUUGUGAAGCAGAGAUAUUCAUAUUCCCCAUCAUAAGCGUUGGUGUUGGUUUGAUAUGGGCCGUUAAAACUUGGUUACUCCAAAUUUGGUGGAAUUGCUUUCCCUCAUGAUAAGGAGCUAAGUUCCUAUUAGAAGUACAUUGUUAUUAUCAUACAUUUGUAUUAGAAUACAGUCUGAUAUAUCUGUGGCUUUAGCUGCAACUCUCUUAAUUCCAGCUGUGCAUUGGAUGUUUUAACCAUGUAUGUGACGAGCUUUAACAGGCACGUCUCUAAUUAAAUAUUUGAGAAUGCUUUGUGUCUUGAUUUAUUUGAAACCCAAUUUGGACAUGUACAGUCACUAGUCUUCAGCCAGAACAUAAAUGGGG
rnacentral:misc_RNA from 1 species